rnacentral:rRNA from 1 species
UUUAUGGAGAGUUUGAUCCUGGCUCAGGAUGAACGCUGGCGGCGUGCCUAAUACAUGCAAGUCGAGCGAACGGACGAGAAGCUUGCUUCUCUGAUGUUAGCGGCGGACGGGUGAGUAACACGUGGAUAACCUACCCAUAAGACUGGGAUAACUUCGGGAAACCGGAGCUAAUACCGGAUAAUAUUU